AUUGAACGCUGGCGGCAGGCCUAACACAUGCAAGUCGAACGGUAACAGGAAGAAGCUUGCUUCUUUGCUGACGAGUGGCGGACGGGUGAGUAAUGUCUGGGAAACUGCCUGAUGGAGGGGGAUAACUACUGGAAACGGUAGCUAAUACCGCAUAACGUCGCAAGACCAAAGAGGGGGACCUUCGGGCCUCUUGCCAUCGGAUGUGCCCAGAUGGGAUUAGCUAGUAGGUGGGGUAACGGCUCACCUAGGCGACGAUCCCUAGCUGGUCUGAGAGGAUGACCAGCCACACUGGAACUGAGACACGGUCCAGACUCCUACGGGAGGCAGCAGUGGGGAAUAUUGCACAAUGGGCGCAAGCCUGAUGCAGCCAUGCCGCGUGUAUGAAGAAGGCCUUCGGGUUGUAAAGUACUUUCAGCGGGGAGGAAGGGAGUAAAGUUAAUACCUUUGCUCAUUGACGUUACCCGCAGAAGAAGCACCGGCUAACUCCGUGCCAGCAGCCGCGGUAAUACGGAGGGUGCAAGCGUUAAUCGGAAUUACUGGGCGUAAAGCGCACGCAGGCGGUUUGUUAAGUCAGAUGUGAAAUCCCCGGGCUCAACCUGGGAACUGCAUCUGAUACUGGCAAGCUUGAGUCUCGUAGAGGGGGGUAGAAUUCCAGGUGUAGCGGUGAAAUGCGUAGAGAUCUGGAGGAAUACCGG
rnacentral:rRNA from 1 species